GAAAGGACGGUCCAGGCAAGAGAGGGAUUGAAACGAACAACUGCGUCUGGCAUGAUCGUUUGCGCUUUGGUUAAAGCAUCAUGGAUAAUACCCGGUAGGGAUCAAUUAGAAGCGUCUUGUUCAGAAGGCAGAAAGCACGGAGGGUCUGAGGACAUAUGGGGUGUAACCGAGUUGGAACUCGAUGAGAUCACGGGUUUCACAUUGCCAUUAGGAUAGAUUUUUCCUUUUGUACGCAAUUACCUCUUUUUAGGAAUUGCUUCCUUUGUAUUGUUCAAUUUGAG
rnacentral:lncRNA from 1 species